rnacentral:rRNA from 1 species
ACCGAGUUUACAACUCCCAAACCCAAUGUGAACGUUACCAAACUGUUGCCUCGGCGGGAUCUCUGCCCCGGGUGCGUCGCGCCCCGGACCAAGGCGCCCGCCGGAGGACCAACCUAAAACUCUUAUUGUAUACCCCCUCGCGGGUUUUUUUAUAAUCUGAGCCUUCUCGGCGCCUCUCGUAGGCGUUUCGAAAAUGAAUCAAACUUUCAACAACGGAUCUCUUGGUUCUGGCAUCGAUGAAGAACGCAGCGAAAUGCGAUAAGUAAUGUGAAUUGCAGAAUUCAGUGAAUCAUCAAUCUUUGAACGCACAUUGCGCCCGCCAGUAUUUGGGGGCAUGCCUGUCCGAGCGUCAUUUCAACCCUCGAACCCCUCCGGGGGGUCGGGUUGGGGAUCGGCCCUCCCUUAGCGGGGUGGCGUCUCCGAAAACAGUGGGGUCUCGCCGCAGCCUCUCCUGCGCAGUAGUUUGCACACUCGAUCGGGAGCGCGGCGCGUCCACAGCCGUUAACACCCACUUCUGAA